rnacentral:sRNA from 1 species
GCUGGGCGUGGUGGUGCACGCUUGUAAUCCCAGUGGCUCUGGAGGCUGAGGCAGGAGGAUCGUGAGUUCAAAGUCAGCCUCAG